rnacentral:rRNA from 1 species
AGUGAACGCUGGCGGCAGGCCUAACACAUGCAAGUCGAACGGUAGCACAGAGGAGCUUGCUCCUUGGGUGACGAGUGGCGGACGGGUGAAGAAUACAUCGGAAUCUACCCUGUCGUGGGGGAUAACGUAGGGAAACUUACGCUAAUACCGCAUACGAACUGAGGUUGAAAGCAGGGGACCGCAAGGCCUUGCGCGAUUGGAUGAGCCGAUGUCCGAUUAGCUAGUUGGUAAGGUAAAGGCUUACCAAGGCGACGAUCGGUAGCUGGUCUGAGAGGAUGAUCAGCCACACUGGAACUGAGACACGGUCCAGACUCCUACGGGAGGCAGCAGUGGGGAAUAUUGGACAAUGGGCGCAAGCCUGAUCCAGCCAUGCCGCGUGUGUGAAGAAGGCCUUCGGGUUGUAAAGCACUUUUGUUGGGAAAGAAAAGCGGUCGGUUAAUACCCGGUCGUACUGACGGUACCCAAAGAAUAAGCACCGGCUAACUUCGUGCCAGCAGCCGCGGUAAUAC